CGCCGAUCUAUAUAUGACACGCGAAGGAGGAGAGAGUCCGCCAUUGAAUAAUUUUAUUGUUAACCCACUUAAUGGAUGUGUUUAUGUUUUGGGUUUAUUUGUUAAAGUAUGAAACGCGCUUUGUUUGCAAUUUAGUUCGCGACGGUGAUUUGAAAACAAGAUGUAGAACAAUGUGUAAUCGAGCGCAGACAGAUCGAUACAAUGUCUCAUCUAUAUGUGUUGUAGAUCUGUGGCUCCGGGGCCUGGCUCGCUGCGCGCUCUUCACCGCCGGUUAACGAGGAUCUUCACCGGUUAACGAGGCUCGUCGCUUCGUUUUGAGGCUCGUUGUGACCUCGUCGGACGCAAUGGGAUGUCUGACCUGCUGGCGGGUGUGAGCCAGUUUCCGGUGAGCGAGACGACAGUGACAAACGACCUGGAGGAUCAGAGCUUGCCUCAAUACUGGCCCGACAUGGAAAUCAACCACGAUGGGAUGUACCACGUCACCGACGAGGGUGACGGAUCUGGUGCGUGGCUGCCGAGCCCGCAAGGCCUUGCGGACGAACCGACCCACAGUGACGUAUCUACGAUCACCAUGGUGCCCGAACCCAAGGUUGAAGUGAAACCACACCAGCCAUGUUUCGAGGCACCGACCAUUUUGACAACUGAAAAAAUCCUGUAUGAAAUUCAGAACGAUGAGAAGAUAGCCAGCCUGUUGGGAAAGUACCCCAAAUACAACCGUGUCCUGGUGUACUACUACCUGUACAAGGGCAUGCGAACGCAGGAGAAGGACAACCCCCUGAUAGCGGAGGCCGCUGAGAAGGCCGGUGUCACGUACCAGCACGCUUACAACUUCAUUGGAAACUUCCGCCGUUCGAUCGGUGCUUCCCGGCACCGCGGACAGCGGAUUUGGACGCCGUGGACCAAAAAUUCUCCAGGCAAAGCCGCAGCUUCUCCAGCCGGCUUACCGAGCAGCUUACCUGGUGUUCUGCAACCUGAGGAGAACCAUGAUGGUUUAGGCUUUUCCAUGGAGGAAAACCAUACCGGUCUUCUGGAGCGAAUGGAAGGGGAAAGCCCGCCAUCUGGUGGGGAGGCCUCCAUAGUUGAUCCUUGCAUGACGAGGAUGGAUGGCAUGAACUCGGGAACAAACUUUUUGAAUGAGUUGAAGCAAGAUCCAGAGAUCGCAAAACAGCUGGAGCGAUUCCCCAAGUACAAUGGUGUGCUGGUUUACUACUAUCUGUACAAGGGCAUGCGGACGCAGGAGAAGGAUAACUCCUUGAUAGCAGAGGCCUCUGAGAAGGCUGGCGUCACGUAUCAGCACGCUUACUACUUUAUCGGAAACUUCCGCCGAGCAACCGGCGAAUCCCGUACGCGAACGCGAAGAGACGCCGGUCCAUGGGACCCUCCUCAUUUCCCUUACCCCGGGCCUCUGCAGCAACACCUCACGCAGUAUGGGCAGUCGGGCUCGCCGAGUUUAGAGUCAGCAUCAACUGAUGGCCAUGACGCUGAUGGCUCUUCAGAGCUGACGGAGGGUACAUUGGGCACGUCAACUGGUUACCGGGACGGCUGUGAGGAGCGUGGUGAGGGUGAUGGACUAGUCGGCCCGCCGUCUGACGGAGCCAUGUGGGGAGCUUGUACAACAUCACCUUUUCGUGGCUGUGGCCAAGAGAUGGAGCUGGUGACGGAGACUGAUCGGAUUCUUGAGAAACUCAAAGCAAAUAAAGACAUUGCAAGGAGGCUGGAGCGAUUCCCCAAAUAUAACCGUGUGCUAGCUUACUAUUACCUGUACAAGGGUAUGCGGACACAGGAAAAGGAUAACCCACUGAUAGCAGAGGCUGCAGAGAAGGCUGGUGUCACGUACCAGCACGCUUACAACUUCAUUGGGAAUUUCCGGAGAGCGACGGGAGGUUCCAAGGUGCGUGGAGCACGGCUUGGCAUGACCUGUGUGUCCGGCGUGACUGGCUCUGUGGACAAGGGUGUGGAGCAGCUGCACGGAUGCAGGAAACGCAGAAAAGGUGGCACGAUGUUGGGCUGGAGCCCCCAAGCCUCACCUGCACAGGCAUUGGGAACUGUCGGUUAUCCGGGUGGUGACAGAACGGGCGAUGACUCUGCAGAUUCAUUUGGCAUAAUCCGACAAAAUCUGCAGCGGAUCCAGCAAUUGAUGGAGGAUAACCAACGUUAUGGCUGUGAGGGUCUCGCCAUGGCGUUCUGUUUCCAACCGAGCACGGCUCACACCCAGGAGCCUCUUUUGUGGGUGCUCGGCUCACCAGAGGGGAAGAGCUUGCUUGCAGAACAUCGCAUCGGCGACUAUGUCGCCCUGCUAUGGAGAGCCAAGCGUAUCAGAGAUGUUGAAAUCAAGAAGAUGGAGUCGAAUGCUGACAAUUCCAAGGUGCUGGAUGAACUCGGCCAAUGGGACGAAGCCGAGAAGGACAGCACAGCCCUUCCACAAAGUACAGACUGUGGCCACGAGGUUCCCAAUGCAUCCACCUCUGAGCCUGGGCCCAGUCCCCCGAACCAACCUCUGAGAACCAACCGUAGGCUCCCGUCUACAAGCUCUGGUGGAGGGUGGAAUGCGAGGCCACAUUGUCACAUGGAGCAAGGACAUGGACAUCAAUGA
ensembl:lincRNA